rnacentral:rRNA from 1 species
CUGCUGCCUCCCGUAGGAGUCUGGCCCGUGUCUCAGUACCAGUGUGGGGGACCUUCCUCUCAGAACCCCUACGCAUCGUCGCCUCGGUGGGCCGUUACCCCGCCGACUAGCUAAUGCGCCGCAUGGCCAUCCGCAGCCGAUAAAUCUUUAAACAUCGGGAGAUGCCUCCCAACGUUGUUACGCGGUAUUAGACGGAAUUUCUUCCGCUUAUCCCCCUGCUGCGGGCAGGUUCCAUACGUGUUACUCACCCGUGCGCCGGUCGCCGG